CCUACGGGGGGCAGCAGUGAGGAAUAUUGGUCAAUGGACGAGAGUCUGAACCAGCCAAGUAGCGUGAAGGAUGAAUGCCCUGUGGGUUGUAAACUUCUUUUAUAUGGGAAUAAAAUCUUCCACGUGUGGGCUUUUGUAUGUACCAUAUGAAUAAGCAUCGGCUAACUCCGUGCCAGCAGCCGCGGUAAUACGGAGGAUCCGAGCGUUAUCCGGAUUUAUUGGGUUUAAAGGGAGCGUAGGUGGAUUGUUAAGUCAGUGGUGAAAGUUUGCGGCUCAACCGUAAAAUUGCAGUUGAAACUGGCAGGCUUGAGGACAGUAGAGGGGGGGGGAAUUCGUGGUGUAGCGGGGGAAUGCUUAGAUAUCACGAAGAACUCCGAUUGCGAAGGCAGCUCACUGGACUGCAACUGACACUGAGGCUCGAAAGUGUGGGUAUCAAACAGGAUUAGAUACCCGAGUAGUC
rnacentral:rRNA from 1 species